rnacentral:rRNA from 1 species
GAUGAACGCUGGCGGCGUGCCUAAUACAUGCAAGUCGAGCGAAUGGAUUAAGAGCUUGCUCUUAUGAAGUUAGCGGCGGACGGGUGAGUAACACGUGGGUAACCUGCCCAUAAGACUGGGAUAACUCCGGGAAACCGGGGCUAAUACCGGAUAACAUUUUGAACCGCAUGGUUCGAAAUUGAAAGGCGGCUUCGGCUGUCACUUAUGGAUGGACCCGCGUCGCAUUAGCUAGUUGGUGAGGUAACGGCUCACCAAGGCAACGAUGCGUAGCCGACCUGGGAGGGUGAUGGGCCAACCUGGGACUGAGACACGGCCCAGACUCCGACGGGAGGCAGCAGUAGGGAAUCUUCCGCAAUGGACGAAAGUCUGACGGAGCAACGCCGCGUGAGUGAUGAAGGCUUUCGGGUCGUAAAACUCUGUUGUUAGGGAAGAACAAGUGCUAGUUGAAUAAGCUGGCACCUUGACGGUACCUAACCAGAAAGCCACGGCUAACUACGUGCCAGCAGCCGCCGUAA